rnacentral:misc_RNA from 1 species
CUGCUGGCACGCCGCUAGUGCCGGCCCUGACACAUUCGACAAGCGACACCGUAACGGGAAGCAACGUGCAACUGGGGACCUCGAAGGACCUCUCCGCUGGUCACGAGACACACGUUUGCAACGUUUUGGCAGCGACGAUAAUUCGCGCCAGGGUGCCGGCCGGCAAGUGCUCAGAUUACCAUCGCACAUUACGUUCGUGUCUCAAAUAUCAUCGUCUGAUACAGGGAUCGUAGAAAACGAUUUCGAGGAAGGGCACCUUUGGGAAAGCAUCCAAGAGGCAGCCGAUGACAUCCCUUACGAGAUCAACGAACGUAGGCGGCGUCGUACAUCAGUGAUACAUCAGUGAUAAAGAUCCGCGACGCGGACCGUCAGAGGACAAGAGACACAAUUUUGCGCGAGCGAGUGAGAACAGUGGAUUGUGAGACGCCAACGUGGGUACCUUAGUGCGCGCUCGUACCGCGAACUCGUGGCACGCAUACGUUCGGACGCAUGUGCACCGGCACGCGGUCGGUGCGCCCGGCUUGACGGUGCAGCCCGGAAAGACGCGACACCGUCAGUGGUGAGCGGACGUUCAUGCACCGCCACGGGCUGCCGGCCGCCAACGUUUCAGUGAUAAUGAUUCAUGCGCGCUCCUAAAGAAACGUGGCAACGGGCGUACCCGCUCUGACGGAGAGACAGCCGGUCGAGUCUCCCGCGGAGACGCCAAGGGGUGACCGAGGGGGCGACGAAGGUUUCUGCAAAGAUUGGCAACGCGAAGGAGGAAGCCUGUUGCCCCAAGAGAGUCCGUACGGCCUCACCACGCGGUCCGACGAGUGGAGCAGUCUCCUGCCCAGCUCCACAAUCGUGGGUGCUGGGGGGUCGCCAUGGCUCGGACUCGGAGGGGGUGGCACCGGGGCUACCACGGGGGGCGGAAGUCCUGUCGAGCUCGAGGGUCACUGGGGACGUAAGCUGUACAGCGCGAGUGUGGCACCGCCACCCCCGCCGCCUCAUCAUCAUCCGCGAGCGCCGUUGGUUUUCGCGCCUCAAGAUAUGAGGCAGAUACUCAAGGAGGAACCUGUGCCACGUGCUUGGCCGCAGCCCGCGCUCGCCGAUAACGGGACGGUUGGCGUGGGUCGGGCGCAUUUCGAGAAACAACCGCCGAGUAAUCUGAGAAAGAGCAAUUUUUUCCAUUUCGUAAUCGCCCUUUACGAUCGACAUGGCCAACCGAUCGAGAUUGAGAGGACGUCGUUCAUGGGCUUCGUCGAGAAGGAUCAGGAGUCUGAGGGCCAAAAAACAAACAAUGGUAUUCAGUACAGUCUACAUCUACUUUAUUCCAAUGGUGUCAGGCAAGUGCAGGAUAUCUACGUUAGGCUUAUAGACUCCGCAACAAAACAAGCAAUCAUGUACGAGGGGCAAGAUAAGAAUCCGGAAAUGUGCCGUGUUCUGUUGACGCAUGAAGUCAUGUGCAGCCGAUGCUGCGAUAAGAAGAGCUGCGGCAACAGGAACGAAACGCCCAGCGAUCCUGUCAUCAUCGACCGAUUCUUCCUAAAGUUCUUUCUCAAGUGUAACCAAAACUGCCUCAAGAACGCCGGCAAUCCACGAGACAUGAGGCGCUUCCAGGUGGUCAUAUCUACGCAAGUGGGAGUGGAAGGACCAUUACUAGCGGUCUCAGACAAUAUGUUCGUCCACAACAACAGCAAGCACGGACGCAGGGCGAAACGUUUGGACCCCAGUGAUCCUGGCGAGUACAAUAGUUUAUAUCCGCCAAUACCUCUCCAAACGCCGUGCAUAAAAGCGAUAUCGCCUAACGAAGGCUGGACGUCGGGUGGAUCCACCGUCAUAAUUAUCGGUGAAAAUUUCUUCGAUGGAUUGCAAGUAGUUUUCGGUUCGAUGCUAGUUUGGAGCGAGUUUAUCACACCCCACGCAAUCAAGGUGCAGGCACCGGCGCGGCAAAUACCAGGAGUCGUCGACGUCACAUUACAUUACAAAAGCAAGCAGUUCUGUAAAGGAGCGCCCGGUAGAUUUGUUUACGUUUCGGUAAACGAACCUACGAUCGACUACGGCUUCCAAAGGUUACAGAAACUCGUUCCGCGGCACCCCGGUGACCCCGAAAAGCUUCCGAAGGAGAUAGUGCUGAAGAGGGCGGCGGAUCUAGCGGAAGCCAUUUAUAGUAUGCCCAAGAGUGGAAACAUGGGGAUCGCGGGGGCACCACGAAGUCCGGGUUCAGUGCACGCACCCGCACCUCCCACAUCCAGUUCGGCAACGGCCUUUAAUUCGUAUACGGGGCAACUUGCGGUGACAGUGCAGGAAAAUGGUAGUGCGGCAAAAUGGACAGACGACGGUAGUUCCGUGACGACAGGGGCUGCUGCCGACGGCGGAGGCGGCGGCGGCGGCGGUGGUGGCGGCGGUGGUAGUGGCGGCAGUGGUGGUAGUGUCGGAGCUAACGUCGGCGGUAGCGCCGACGCCUAUAGACAAAGCAGCAGUGCAAGUCCACGUGGUGUCGUAACCGGCGGUGGUUAUUGCGGUAGUUCAGCCAGCACACCACACAGUCACAGUACUAACGGAAGUUAUUCCGUCGCCAAUCCGUACACCGGCAGCCCUACUCUCUAUACCUCGCCGCACGAACAAUAUGGCAUUUUCUAUACAUCCGGGGACGGGAGUGCGUUCGCCCCCGUAGUACGACCACCGACCACCUCAGUCCCACCGCACUGGCCCACACAGCACCACCUCGCCACAGCCGCCCAGUAACCGCUAACCGUCCACCAUCACCACCAACACCACCAUCAUCACAACCACCCUAUGCACUGCGAUUAAAGAAUUAUGAGAGACGGCAUUUGAGAAUGACUAGGAGAGGUGGUCGGAUCACCAUUCAACAUGAACCCAUUUAUGUUGCCCACUUGCAACCAAGGAUACUCAGCCGCUGCCAGUCCGCUGCUUUCAUCAAACGGCAAAUAGUGCUACGAGAUGUAAGC